GACGAACGCUGGCGGCGUGCUUAACACAUGCAAGUCGAGCGGUAAGGCCCUUUCGGGGGUACACGAGCGGCGAACGGGUGAGUAACACGUGGGUGACCUGCCCUCAGCUCUGGGAUAAGCCUGGGAAACUGGGUCUAAUACUGGAUAUGACUCCACGGUGCAUGUCGUGGGGUGGAAAGCCUUGUGCGGCUGAGGAUGGGCCCGCGGCCUAUCAGCUUGUUGGUGGGGUGANGGCCUACCAAGGCGACGACGGGUAGCCGGCCUGAGAGGGCGACCGGCCACACUGGGACUGAGACACGGCCCAGACUCCUACGGGAGGCAGCAGUGGGGAAUCUUGCCCAAUGGGCGAAAGCCUGAGGCAGCAACGCCGCGUGUGGGAUGACGGCCUGGUGUAAC
rnacentral:rRNA from 1 species